rnacentral:rRNA from 1 species
UACAGAGGGUGCGAGCGUUAAUCGGAAUUACUGGGCGUAAAGGGUGAGUAGGUGGUAGCUUAAGUUAGUUGUGAAAUAUCCGAGCUUAACUUGGAAUGUGCAGCUAAUACUGAGCUACUAGAGUACUGUAGAGGGUGGUGGAAUUUCCGGUGUAGCGGUGAAAUGCGUAGAUAUCGGAAGGAACACCAGUGGCGAAGGCGACCACCUGGAUAGAUACUGACACUGAGUCACGAAAGCGUGGGUAGCGAACAGG